rnacentral:lncRNA from 1 species
CACAUUCCUGCAGCCCUUCAGACCGCCAGAACUCUUCUGCCGCCUGCCUGCCUGCCUGCCUGCCUGCCUGCCUGUGCCGAGGUAUGCACCUCCCUGUCAGCCCCUGCCCUUCUGUAAGCUUCAUCAUCUCCUCUCUGCCCCAUCCCCAUGACCAGUCUCAGGGGGAGGUGAGCUGGAAACCUGUUGCUCACUCACAGGGGAACUUGUUGUCUCUGUAGCACUGCAGAAAAUAGCCAUGGUUUGCGGGGACCGCUUUCUCUGUGUUCUCUGGUGGCAGAGGCUACUGGUCUGUCCUCUGUCACCCUCGGAGGCAGCUGCCUCCUUUUCUGAGAAUCCGAUCCUCAUUUGCCCAUCAUGACUGCCAACCCAGAGAAAAUCUGGCUGGCAGCCUGUUGGGUCUGGCUUCCUAUUCUGGGAGAACAGACAUCCAGUUCUGGGUCAGAGCACUGUUGUCCAAAUGGGACUUUGCAAGAAGGAUAAACAGAUCUGUAAACAGCCAAGGCAAGACAUUCCCUUUAGUCAGUUCCUCUGGGAAGGCUCUGGUCCCUUCAAUCUCUGUCCACCCCCACCCCAUCACCCCGUGGCAUUUCAGUCAGUCUGAAAUGCCAUUGUCUCUCCCAGCCUGGGGUUGCCAUUGUUCCCAGCCUAAUUCUGAGAGGUGGUCAUCACUGGCAUUAACAUUGCUUCUACCGUAUCUAGACAUCUGAGAAAGCCAACAAUUUGAUACAAUCCAGAGACGACAGGGAGGAGGGUGUGAUGGGGAGGAGGGAGACAGAGAGAUAUAGCUCCAGGACACUUUUCUUGCUACUACUGAAUCUAUCCAAGACUCAGCCUGUUGAAAGCUUGUCUGCUCCAAGCUGUUCUGUAAACUUCCUGUGACUCCUAGAAUGGCUGGAAAUAAGCCUCACCUAAGGGGGACAAACAGGUAUCAGGCAUCUGCCUCAGGGACAGACAGCACACCUGCAGGGAGGGAGUGUCUCCACUGACAACUCUUUUAAGUUUCUAGAACCUUCCUAGUGUAGGGAGUGGAGUGAGAUGCGGACCCUACAUGAGGUAACAAGCUUUAGGCAAUUUGUGGGCGAUCUCACAUAGCCAUCUCCCCUGAGUGUAGCCUUCCUGUCCUAAGGAAGAGGGAUAGCUUUUGGGGUACCCGAAUUCCCCUAAGACUUCCCAAGCAGGGUCACUUAAUUGAGCCUAUAAAGUGGUCUACGAAUAAGCAACUUCAAAGAGUCUCUGGAAUUAGUGUGUGUAUGUGAGUGCGCGUGCAUGAGUGUUUCUGUUUGUGUUUAAGAGAUGAUGGGUGUCCACAGCUUUUAGGUUUAAGAUAUUCCCAAACAGAUGCAGACCCCCAGAAUGGUGUGACGGUGUAAGGUGUAAUUCGGAAAUAGAAACAAAUUUGUAUUUGCCAAGGAUUAAACCUGAAAGAAGUGGUUGAGGGAAGAGUUAACUCUGGUUAACUUAGCCAUCGGCUGCCACAUCGACAGAGCGGCACUGAGGGAGGGGGAGGGGGUGGGGUGGCUCUGGGAGAAGGAGUCAGCUUUUGAAACUUUCUCCAAGCCCCACCCACCAAGAGGCUCUUCUCUCCCGUGACUCACUCCGAGAGGAAUGCGAGUUGCCACGGCAACCUCCCCCACCCCCCCACCCUAGGGUCUCUGCGUACUGGCUGGGAGGGGACUCUGGGAACGCUCAGGGACCUUUAGGUUCCAGUCCCCCCAAACCGCUGCCACGGCUGCCGCCACCGCACCUCACCCCUGCCCCAGAUACAAGGACCACAGCAAACUCUUGCCCUGUCCCCAUUUCCCACGUCCCAGGGCCCCCAGGACUGUGAUAAGCCUCGCUAGAUCUGCCCUUUGCAGGACAGAGGGUUUGGAUCUGUGCUUAGUGUCAUUUGGCCUUGAACUAAUCUGUCUUCCGGAACUCCGGUUUCCUCCCUAUUUCGGGUAAAAGCAGCAGUCCCUCGGAGAAGGGGCAGGAUGAAACGGGCUAAAGCAUGCCCUGGGGGAGCACUUUGCAACCUCACUCCCUUCUAAAGAGACUAAGAUUCUUAGCACAAAGGGGAUUGUUCAAAGUCCUUUUUCUUCUGGCUGCUCCAACAUUUGGGGUCCAGAGAACAUCUUCUUAGUAAAAAGUGGUGACAGGAAUAUUUUUAAAAAUACAUUGCUUAAAUUCAUUUCAAUUUGGGGGAUCUUCUUGUCAGUUUCUCAAGAGUAAUGCAUCCUCCCCUAGAGAAAGACUGGUGAUCAAGUGCUUGCUGCAUCAGCCUGAGGACGCCAGGUUUUUUCCUUACCCCCCACCUGGGGAGCCAGGUGUGGUGACCCAUGUCUCUAAUCCCAGUGCUACCAGAAACAGGCCAGUCUGUAGAGCUCACUUGGCUGACUCAUUAGCUUCGGGUUAGUAAGAGACCCUGUCUCAAAAUAUAAGGUAGUGGGGUUUAGUGGCACUCGCCUUUAAUCUCAGCACUUAGGAGGGAGAGGCAGGCUGGUCUUUGGGAGGUAGAGACCAGCCUGGUCUAUAUAAGUGAAUUCCAGACUACUGAGGGAUUUGGAGAAAGAUCUUGUCUCAGAAAAACAAAGAAAAGG